GAUUUUUAUGGGACAUUCGAUAAAAUUGGAACAAUACAUAGAAAUUAAUAUAGUGACUGCACAAGAAUGACACGCAUAGAGAGAUACUAGAUGUUAAA
rnacentral:sRNA from 1 species